UAUUAGUAUAGACUAGCUGAUGCCCGCGACUUCGUCCGCGUGGAUUUAGAUUUUUAAAAAUCCCGUGGGAACUCUGACUUGCCGGGAUAAAAAGUAGCCUAUCUUUCCCUGGAAUGCAAGCU